AACCCUCAUGAAAAUGAGGACUUCUUCGAGAGUGUUUACACAGGUGCUGCAUGGCUGUCGUCAGCUUGUACCGUGAGGCGCACCCUUAAGUGUGUUAACAAGCGCAACCCCCAUCCUAUGUUAAAUUUCAUGGGAGACUGCCCGCUAAAUGCGUGGAGGAAGGAGGGGAUGACGUCAAGUCAGCACGGCCCUUAUGCCCUGGGCUACACACAUCCUACAAUGGGUAAGAACAACGGGUUUUGCAACUCGGUAACGGGAAGCUAAUCCUUUAAAAUUACCCCCAGUUCGGAUUGAGGGCUGCAAUUUGCCCUCAUGAAGUUGAAAUCGCUAGUAAUCGCGGAUCAGCAGGCCGCGGUGAAUACGUUCUCAGGUCUUGUACACACCGCCCGUCAAGCCAACAAAGUUGGGAGAGCCCGAAAUAUCACUUUCAGUGGUCCUAAGGCUAGCCCGGCGAUGGGGACUAAGUCGUAACAAGGUAUCCGUUCUGGAAGGAGCGGAUGGAUCACCUCCUUU
rnacentral:ncRNA from 1 species